UUUAUACGCCCGUAUAAAAUACGGGACGUAUUAUGUGAAACCCCUUGGCGGCGGGCGGCGGGCGGCGGGCGGCGGGCGGAAGGCAUCACUUUGUCCGGACUCUAAUUCAAAUUGUAUUCAUCCGAUCUUCACCAAACUUGGUCAGCAGUUGCAUCUAGUUGAUAUCUAGGCCAAGUUCGAAUAUGGGUCAUGCCGGGUCAAAAACUAGGUCAUAGGGUCAAUUAGUGCAUUUUCAACGGCGCCACUUUGUCCGGACUCUAAUUCAAAUUGUAUUCAUCCGAUCUUCACCAAACUUGGUCAGAAGUUGUAUCUAGACAAUAUCUAGGUCAAGUUCGAAUAUGGGUCAUGCCGGGUCAAAAACUAGGUCACAGGGUCACUUAGUGUAUUUCAAGCAUUUAGCAUGGUGUCCGCUCUCUAAUUGAAGUAGUUUUCAUCCGAUCUUCACCAAACUUGGUCAGAAGUUGUAUCUAGACAAUGUUUAGGUCAAGUUCAAAUAUGGGUCAUGCCGGGUCAAAAACUAGGUCACAGGGUCACUUAAACCAUUUCAAGCAUUUAGCAUGGUGUCCGCUCUCUAAUUGAAGUAGUUAUCAUCCGAUCUUCACCAAAUUUGGUCAGAAGUUGUGUCUAGACAAUAUCUACAUGUAGGUCAAG